CAGUCGCCACGGUAAUACGAAGGGUGCAAGCGUUACUCGGAAUUACUGGGCGUAAAGCGUGCGUAGGUGGUGGUUUAAGCCCGUCGUGAAAGCCCUGGGCUCAACCUGGGAAUUGCAGUGGAUACUGGGUCACUAGAGUGUGGUAGAGGAUAGUGGAAUUUCCGGUGUAGCAGUGAAAUGCGUAGAGAUCGGAAGGAACAUCUGUGGCGAAGGCGACUAUCUGGGCCAACACUGACACUGAGGCACGAAAGCGUGGGGAGCAAACAGGAUUAGAUACCCCGGUAGUCCCUGUCUCUUAUAC
rnacentral:rRNA from 1 species